AACGAACGCUGGCGGCGUGCUUAACACAUGCAAGUCGAACGUAAAGGCCUGCUUUCCCUUGUGGAUUGCGGGUACUCGAUUGGCGAACGGGUUAGUAACACGUGAGUGAUCUUCCCCCAACUUGGGUAUAAGCCUGGGAAACUGGUUCUAAUUCCCGAUCGGACUGCAGGGUGGUUCCUGUGGUGGUACACGAUUUUCUAUUGGUUGGGGAUGAGCUCGCUGCCUAUCAGCUUGUUGGUGGGGUAAUGGCCUACCAAGGAGGGGGCGGGUAGCCGGCCUGAGAGGGGGGACGGCAACAUUGGGAAUGAGAAACAGGCAAGACUACUACGGGAGGAAGCAGUGGGGAAUAUUGGAGAAUAGGCGGAAGCCGGAUGCAGAGACGCAGCGUGGGGGAUGACGGCCUACGGGUUGUAAACUCAUUGAGACCGCGAGGAAGGCGCGUGGUUGGAAGGGUGGUGACGGUAGUGGUAGAAGAAGCAACGGCUAACUACGUG
rnacentral:rRNA from 1 species